rnacentral:rRNA from 1 species
AGCUGGUUCUCCCCGAAAUAGCUUUAGGGCUAGCCUCAGGGAAAAGAUUGCAGGCGGUAGAGCACUGAUCAGGAGAGGGACCUACCCGGUUACCAAACCCAGUCAAACUCCGAAUGGCUGCAAUCAUACCUGGGAGUCAGACUGCGACUAAUAAGGGCCGCAGUCAAAAGGGAAACAGCCCAGACCAUCAGCUAAGGUCCCCAAUGCCGUGCUAAGUGGCGAAGGAUGUGGCAUUUCAUAAACAACCAGGAUGUUGGCUCAGAAGCAGCCACCAUUUAAAGAGUGCGUAAUAGCUCACUGGUCGAGAGACGCUGCGCCGAAAAUGUCCGGGGCUCAAGCACGGAACCGAAGCUAUGGCAUGAUAGCAAUAUCAUGGGUAGGGGAGCGUUCUUAUAAGGAAGAAGCAUGACCGGAAGGACAUGUGGACAAAUAAGAAGUGAGAAUGCCGGUAUGAGUAUCGAAAAGAAAGGUGAGAAUCCUUUCCACCGAAAGCCCGAGGGUUCCUGAGCAACGAUCGUCGACUCAGGGUAAGUCGGGACCUAAGCCGAGGCGAAAAGCGUAGGCGAUGGACAACAGGUUGAAAUUCCUGUACCGGAUCAAGUCGAUUGAGCGAAGGAGCGACGCAGGAGGGCACAUGAUCGCGCGGCUGGAAGAGCGCGUCCAAGUGCGUAUGUUGCAGCAGAGGAAAACCCCUGCAGCUAAAAGCAGAGACAUGAUGGGGAGUUAAAGGAAACUUUGACGAACUCAUGAAUCCCACACUGCCAAGAAAAACUUCUAGCGAGACAAGAUCCGCCCGUACCGUAAACCGACACAGGUAGGCGGGGAGAGAAUCCUAAGGUGCGCGGGAAAACCCUCGUUAAGGAACUCGGCAAAUUGCAUCCGUAACCUAGGGAGAAGGAUGGCCCCCGGUCAGUGAAGAGCAGAAACGCUCAGAGCUAAAAGGGGCGGCAGAAAAGAGGCCCAAGCAACUGUUUACCAAAAACACAGGUGCCUGCGAAAGCGAAAGCUGAAGUAUAGGUGCUGACGCCUGCCCGGUGCCGGAAGGUUAAGGAGAGAAGUUAGCGAAAGCGAAGCAUCGAACUGAAGCCCCGGUGAACGGCGGCCGUAACUAUAACGGUCCUAAGGUAGCGAAAUUCCUUGUCGGGUAAGUUCCGACCCGCAUGAAAGGCGUAAUGAUUUGGGCACUGUCUCAACGAGGGGCCCGGUGAAAUUGAAAUACCUGUGAAGAUGCAGGUUACCCGCGACUGGACAGAAAGACCCCAUGGAGCUUCACUGCAGCUUGAGAUUGAAUCCCGGUGACAGAUGCACAGGAUAGGUGGGAGGCGCCGAAGCAUUGCCCUAGGGCGGUGCGGAGCCGAUGUUGGGAUACCACCCUUCUGUUGCUGAGAUUCUAACGCGAGGAGUAACGACCCUGCGGACCCUCUCAGGCAGGCGGUUUGACUGGGGCGGUCGCCUCCGAAAGAGUAACGGAGGCGCCCAAAGGUUCCCUCAGGCCGGACAGAAACCGGCCGAAGAGUGCAAAGGCAGAAGGGAGCUUGACUGCGAGACCAACAAGUCGAGCAGAGACGAAAGUCGGGCUUAGUGAUCCGGUGGUACUGAGUGGAAAGGCCAUCGCUCAACGGAUAAAAGCU